UACGAAGGGGGCUAGCGUUGUUCGGAAUUACUGGGCGUAAAGAGCUCGUAGGCGGUUUGUUGCGUCGGCUGUGAAAUCCCGAGGCUCAACCUCGGGUCUGCAGUCGAUACGAGCAAACUAGAGUGUUGCAGGGGAGACUGGAAUUCCUGGUGUAGCGGUGAAGUGCGCAGAUAUCAGGAGGAACACCGGUGGCGAAGGCGGGUCUCUGGGCAACAACUGACGCUGAGGAGCGAAAGCGUGGGGAGCGAACAGG
rnacentral:rRNA from 1 species